rnacentral:tRNA from 3 species
GCCGAGAUGGUGAAAUUGGUAUACACGCUACCUUGAGGUGGUAGUGCCCUAGGCAUGCGGGUUCGAGUCCCGCUCUCGGCACCA